AGCAGCCGCGGUAAUUCCAGCUCCAAUAGCGUAUAUUAAAGUUGUUGCAGUUAAAAAGCUCGUAGUUGAAUUUCGGGAUUGGCGCAUCGGUCGUGCCUCACGGGGUAUGAACUGGUGCAGUCAAUUUCUCACCUUCUGGAGAACCGCGAUGUCCUUAAUUGGAUGCCGCGGGGAACCAGGACCUUUACUUUGAAAAAUUAGAGUGUUUAAAGCAGGCAUUUUUGCUUGAAUACAUUAGCAUGGAAUAAUAAAAUAGGACGGCAUGGUUCUAUUUUGUUGGUUUCUAGGACCACCGUAAUGAUUAAUAGGGAUAGUUGGGGGCAUUAGUAUUCAAUUGUCAGAGGUGAAAUUCUUGGAUUUAUUGAAGACUAACUACUGCGAAAGCAUUUGCCAAGGAUGUUUUCAUUAAUCAAGAACGAAAGUUAGGGGAUCGAAGACGAUCAGAUACCGUCGUAGUCUUAACCAUAAACUAUGCCG
rnacentral:rRNA from 1 species